GGAGGUUGUUUGGCCCUCCGGAGCCGGCUUGCGGAAGCAGGCUUCAAACCACCACGAGGGGCGUUGGCUGAAGACCGUCGUCCUGAGCGUCGUUGGAAAAGGCGCGGCAAAUGACUGCGUCAGGU
rnacentral:ncRNA from 1 species